rnacentral:rRNA from 1 species
GUUGGCUUAGAAGCAGCCAUCAUUUAAAGAGUGCGUAAUAGCUCACUAGUCGAGUGACACUGCGCCGAAAAUGUACCGGGGCUAAACAUAUUACCGAAGCUGUGGAUUGUCCUUUGGACAAUGGUAGGAGAGCGUUCUAAGGGCGUUGAAGCAUGAUCGUAAGGACAUGUGGAGCGCUUAGAAGUGAGAAUGCCGGUGUGAGUAGCGAAAGACGGGUGAGAAUCCCGUCCACCGAUUGACUAAGGUUUCCAGAGGAAGGCUCGUCCGCUCUGGGUUAGUCGGGUCCUAAGCUGAGGCCGACAGGCGUAGGCGAUGGAUAACAGGUUGAUAUUCCUGUACCACCUAUAAUCGUUUUAAUCGAUGGGGGGACGCAGUAGGAUAGGCGAAGCGUGCGAUUGGAUUGCACGUCUAAGCAGUAAGGCUGAGUAUUAGGCAAAUCCGGUACUCGUUAAGGCUGAGCUGUGAUGGGGAGAAGACAUUGUGUCUUCGAGUCGUUGAUUUCACACUGCCGAGAAAAGCCUCUAGAUAGAAAAUAGGUGCCCGUACCGCAAACCGACACAGGUAGUCAAGAUGAGAAUUCUAAGGUGAGCGAGCGAACUCUCGUUAAGGAACUCGGCAAAAUGACCCCGUAACUUCGGGAGAAGGGGUGCUCUUUAGGGUUAACGCCCAGAAGAGCCGCAGUGAAUAGGCCCAAGCGACUGUUUAUCAAAAACACAGGUCUCUGCUAAACCGUAAGGUGAUGUAUAGGGGCUGACGCCUGCCCGGUGCUGGAAGGUUAAGAGGAGUGGUUAGCUUCUGCGAAGCUACGAAUCGAAGCCCCAGUAAACGGCGGCCGUAACUAUAACGGUCCUAAGGUAGCGAAAUUCCUUGUCGGGUAAGUUCCGACCCGCACGAAAGGCGUAACGAUUUGGGCACUGUCUCAACGAGAGACUCGGUGAAAUCAUAGUACCUGUGAAGAUGCAGGUUACCCGCGACAGGACGGAAAGACCCCGUGGAGCUUUACUGUAGCCUGAUAUUGAAAUUCGGCACAGCUUGUACAGGAUAGGUAGGAGCCUUUGAAACGUGAGCGCUAGCUUACGUGGAGGCGCUGGUGGGAUACUACCCUAGCUGUGUUGGCUUUCUAACCCGCACCACUUAUCGUGGUGGGAGACAGUGUCAGGCGGGCAGUUUGACUGGGGCGGUCGCCUCCUAAAAGGUAACGGAGGCGCUCAAAGGUUCCCUCAGAAUGGUUGGAAAUCAUUCAUAGAGUGUAAAGGCAUAAGGGAGCUUGACUGCGAGACCUACAAGUCGAGCAGGGUCGAAAGACGGACUUAGUGAUCCGGUGGUUCCGCAUGGAAGGGCCAUCGCUCAACGGAUAAAAGCUACCCCGGGGAUAACAGGCUUAUCUCCCCCAAGAGUUCACAUCGACGGGGAGGUUUGGCACCUCGAUGUCGGCUCAUCGCAUCCUGGGGCUGUAGUCGGUCCCAAGGGUUGGGCUGUUCGCCCAUUAAAGCGGUACGCGAGCUGGGUUCAGAACGUCGUGAGACAGUUCGGUCCCUAUCCGUCGUGGGCGUAGGAAAUUUGAGAGGAGCUGUCCUUAGUACGAGAGGACCGGGAUGGACAUACCUCUGGUGUACCAGUUGUCGUGCCAACGGCAUAGCUGGGUAGCUAUGUGUGGACGGGAUAAGUGCUGAAAGCAUCUAAGCAUGAAGCCCCCCUCAA